ACACCGGCAGCUCAAGUGGUAGCCGCUUUUAUUGGGCCUAAAGCGUCCGUAGCCGGUCUGAUAAGUCUCUGGUGAAAUCCCACAGCUUAACUGUGGGAAUUGCUGGAGAUACUAUCAUGACUCGAGGUCGGGAGAGGCUGGAGGUACUCCCAGGGUAGGGGUGAAAUCCUGUAAUCCUGGGAGGACCACCUGUGGCGAAGGCGGCCAGCUGGAACGAACCUGACGGUGAGGGACGAAAGCCAGGGGCGCGAACCGGAUUAGAUACCCGGGUAGUCCUGGCCGUAAACGAUGUGGACUUGGUGUUGGGAUGGCUUCGAGCUGCCCCAGUGCCGAAGGGAAGCUGUUAAGUCCACCGCCUGGGAAGUACGGCCGCAAGGCUGAAACUUAAAGGAAUUGACGGGG
rnacentral:rRNA from 1 species